GACGAACGCUGGCGGCGUGCUUAACACAUGCAAGUCGAACGGAAAGGCCCUGCUUGCAGGGUACUCGAGUGGCGAACGGGUGAGUAACACGUGGGUGAUCUGCCCUGCACUUCGGGAUAAGCCUGGGAAACUGGGUCUAAUACCGGAUAGGAGCCAUUUUUAGUGUGAUGGGUGGAAAGUUUUUUCGGUGUAGGAUGAGCUCGCGGCCUAUCAGCUUGUUGGUGGGGUAAUGGCCUACCAAGGCGGCGACGGGUAGCCGGCCUGCUAGGGUGGACGGCCACAUUGGGACUGAGAUACAGCCCAGACUCCUACGGGAGGCAGGCGUGGGGAAUGUUGCACAAUGGGCGCAAGCCUGAUGCAGCGACGCCGCGUGGGGGAUGACGGACUUCGGGUUGUAAACUCCUUUCGCUAGGGACGAAGCUUUUUGUGACGGUACCUAGAUAAGAAGCACCGGCUAACUACGUG
rnacentral:rRNA from 1 species